rnacentral:rRNA from 1 species
AACCUUACCGAGGGUCUUGACAUCCUCUCGACCGCAUAUGAAAGUAUGUUUUCUGGCUUCGGUCAGACAGAGAGACAGGUGGUGCAUGGUUGUCGUCAGCUCGUGUCGUGAGAUGUUGGGUUAAGUCCCGCAACGAGCGCAACCCCUACGUUUAGUUGCUAACGUGUAACGAUGAGCACUCUAGGCGGACUGCCGUUGACAAAACGGAGGAAGGUGGGAUGACGUCAAAUCAUCAUGCCCCUUAUGUUCUGGGCUACACACGUGCUACAAUGGCCGGUACAAAGGGACGCAAAGCCGCGAGGUGGCGCCAAUCCAUAAAGUUGGUCUCAGUUCAGAUUGUAGGCUGCAACCCGCCUGCAUGAAGAUGGAGUUGCUAGUAACCGCAGGUCAGCUAUACUGCGGUGAAUACGUUCCCGGGGCUU